CACAGCUUGAAGCUGCUCAUAGUACUGCUUAUACCUCUUGUAGACCUUGAAAAGGUCACAUGGAAAUGUUUUUAAGAUUCGAACCAAUUAUGUAAUAAUUAUGUCAAAAUUAUAAACUCCAAUGGCUCAUACAUUAUUUCCUCACUCAAAAAGUAUGCUAUAGAGUUUGUCAAGAAAAAAAGAAUGCUAUAUACGACAGAAUAAACUAGUUAAAAUCUUCGAGUCCCUAGCUUUUAGAUGAAAUAUCAAUCUCGUGCAUAUAUUCCCUUUCAUAAAGAAGAAGUUCUCUUUUUACACUUUAAGAUUAUAUCCUUAAGAUAUGAAGAAUCCAAUUCACAAAUUUAGAUCAAGAGCCAGGGAAGCUCAAUAUAAAGUCACUUCCCACGAUAAUGAUAUUAUUAUUUACUAUAACCUUAAAAAUCCUAGUAUUAAAAAUGAAUAUAUCAUUUGUUAACUUGGAAUUAAUAACAUCUUCUAUUCAUGCAACGUAGGGAACGUUCAACUAAAGUAACACUUCCUCUUGGUAUAAGGAAUGAAAUAAAAUAUUUAAACGAUAUAGUUUUAAUUAUGGAAAAUU